GGAAAGAUUGGUGGGUUGUAUAUAUAAAAUUAAGUCUCGAGCCAUUUAUUAUGAGCUCGAAGAAGAAGAAGAGCUUCAUUUAUUAGAAUACUUUCAAGAGGAUGAAACAUUAGAAGUUCAUCAGUUUUUAAUAGAUGCAGAGUUGGAUGCUUUAGGAAUUUUCUUACAUGAUGACCAACAUAAGGAGGUAGAUCAUACUGAGUUUAUUUUAAAAGACAAUCCUAUCCAAGAAGAUGAAGAAAAGGAAGAAGUGGAAGAAG
rnacentral:lncRNA from 1 species